UGGGGUUGUUGCUUAUAGCACUCUCCACUAAUCUAUGCCCCUCACAAAGUAUGGCUUAUGUUAAUGAUAUAUUUUUGGAAUGUUGAUAAGGUCCAGAGCUGACAGCCAAGAAAGAAUUCUUGAGAUGUCUUUGGUGCAAUAAAGGUGAUUGUACUAAAGUACGGGGACAGGACCGGUGGGCAGAAAGAGCAGCUGCAACUGGGGUUUCGAGGAAUGGCUGAUGAUAUACUUGGGACUUGGAGGAGGGCAGCCAGCAGUAUCUGAAGAGUGUCACACACAUCCCACCAAGGAGCAGGACCAAGCACGGUGCCUGGCCCAAACUAUGUGGUGUUUUGAAAAUCAACUGGACAGUUCUCCUGUGCUGAUGGAUUUGGUCUCUGGUUUCCGGUUUUCAGGAUAAUAGCAAUGAAAAAAUAUGACCUAAGUGUUGCAUCUAGCUCUUGGUUUUGGCUUGGGCCAUGAUCUCAUGGGUUAUGGCAUAGAGCCCCCAGUGAGCUCUGCAAUGUUGGGGAGGGGGGUUCCUGCUUGAAGAUUCUCUCCCUCUGUCCCUCCCCUCCCCCAUCCCGGUCUUUAAAUUUAAUAAAUCUUUUUAAAAAAAUAAACA